rfam:Myotis davidii contig29684, whole genome shotgun sequence.
GGUGGUUCUCAGGUGACGCACCCAGAAUUGGGCUCCCUCCUCUCUGGUUCUGGAUGUGUCACCCAAGAACCGCA